AGAUUGAACGCUGGCGGCAUGCCUAACACAUGCAAGUCGAACGGGAGUAGCAAUACUCUAGUGGCGGACGGGUGAGGAAUACGUAGGAAUUUGCCCUUAAGUGGGGGAUAACCCGGGGAAACCCGGAUUAAUACCGCAUGACCUCGAAAGAGCAAAGUGGGGGAUCGCAAGACCUCACGCUUUUGGAGAAGCCUACGUCGGAUUAGCUAGUUGGUGAGGUAAUGGCUCACCAAGGCGACGAUCCGUAACUGGUCUGAGAGGAUGGAUCGAGUCA
rnacentral:rRNA from 1 species